rfam:Agrobacterium vitis S4 chromosome 1, complete sequence.
UGCCGGCUUUCCAUCAGCCGGGGUCACUGAAGAGGCACACCAUCAUUGCCGGAAGUGCGGUCGGGUUCCCCAACCAAUCCAUGGCAGACAAAGCGGAUUGAUGCUCUCAGGCAAGAGGGCGUUGAUCCAUCGCCCGCGUUAGAGCGUUCGU